CGGGACACGUGGUAUCCUGUCUGAAUAUGGGGGGACCAUCCUCCAAGGCUAAAUACUCCUGACUGACCGAUAGUGAACCAGUACCGUGAGGGAAAGGCGAAAAGAACCCCGGCGAGGGGAGUGAAAAAGAACCUGAAACCGUGUACGUACAAGCAGUGGGAGCCUCUUAAUGGGGUGACUGCGUACCUUUUGUAUAAUGGGUCAGCGACUUAUAUUCUGUAGCAAGGUUAACCGAAUAGGGGAGCCGAAGGGAAACCGAGUCUUAACUGGGCGUUAAGUUGCAGGGUAUAGACCCGAAACCCGGUGAUCUAGCCAUGGGCAGGUUGAAGGUUGGGUAACACUAACUGGAGGACCGAACCGACUAAUGUUGAAAAAUUAGCGGAUGACUUGUGGCUGGGGGUGAAAGGCCAAUCAAACCGGGAGAUAGCUGGUUCUCCCCGAAAGCUAUUUAGGUAGCGCCUCGUGAAUUCAUCUCCGGGGGUAGAGCACUGUUUCGGCAAGGGGGUCAUCCCGACUUACCAACCCGAUGCAAACUGCGAAUACCGGAGAAUGUUAUCACGGGAGACACACGGCGGGUGCUAACGUCCGUCGUGAAGAGGGAAACAACCCAGACCGCCAGCUAAGGUCCCAAAGUCAUGGUUAAGUGGGAAACGAUGUGGGAAGGCCCAGACAGCCAGGAUGUUGGCUUAGAAGCAGCCAUCAUUUAAAGAAAGCGUAAUAGCUCACUGGUCGAGUCGGCCUGCGCGGAAGAUGUAACGGGGCUAAACCAUGCACCGAAGCUGCGGCAGCGACACUAUGUGUUGUUGGGUAGGGGAGCGUUCUGUAAGCCUGUGAAGGUGGCCUGUGAGGGUUGCUGGAGGUAUCAGAAGUGCGAAUGCUGACAUAAGUAACGAUAAAGCGGGUGAAAAGCCCGCUCGCCGGAAGACCAAGGGUUCCUGUCCAACGUUAAUCGGGGCAGGGUGAGUCGACCCCUAAGGCGAGGCCGAAAGGCGUAGUCGAUGGGAAACAGGUUAAUAUUCCUGUACUUGGUGUUACUGCGAAGGGGGGACGGAGAAGGCUAUGUUGGCCGGGCGACGGUUGUCCCGGUUUAAGCGUGUAGGCUGGUUUUCCAGGCAAAUCCGGAAAACCAAGGCUGAGGCGUGAUGACGAGGCACUACGGUGCUGAAGCGACAAAUGCCCUGCUUCCAGGAAAAGCCUCUAAGCAUCAGGUAACAUCAAAUCGUACCCCAAACCGACACAGGUGGUCAGGUAGAGAAUACCAAGGCGCUUGAGAGAACUCGGGUGAAGGAACUAGGCAAAAUGGUGCCGUAACUUCGGGAGAAGGCACGCUGAUAUGUAGGUGAAGCGACUUGCUCGUGGAGCUGAAAUCAGUCGAAGAUACCAGCUGGCUGCAACUGUUUAUUAAAAACACAGCACUGUGCAAACACGAAAGUGGACGUAUACGGUGUGACGCCUGCCCGGUGCCGGAAGGUUAAUUGAUGGGGUUAGCGGCAACGCGAAGCUCUUGAUCGAAGCCCCGGUAAACGGCGGCCGUAACUAUAACGGUCCUAAGGUAGCGAAAUUCCUUGUCGGGUAAGUUCCGACCUGCACGAAUGGCGUAAUGAUGGCCAGGCUGUCUCCACCCGAGACUCAGUGAAAUUGAACUCGCUGUGAAGAUGCAGUGUACCCGCGGCAAGACGGAAAGACCCCGUGAACCUUUACUAUAGCUUGACACUGAACAUUGAGCCUUGAUGUGUAGGAUAGGUGGGAGGCUUUGAAGUGUGGACGCCAGUCUGCAUGGAGCCGACCUUGAAAUACCACCCUUUAAUGUUUGAUGUUCUAACGUUGGCCCGUAAUCCGGGUUGCGGACAGUGUCUGGUGGGUAGUUUGACUGGGGCGGUCUCCUCCUAAAGAGUAACGGAGGAGCACGAAGGUUGGCUAAUCCUGGUCGGACAUCAGGAGGUUAGUGCAAUGGCAUAAGCCAGCUUGACUGCGAGCGUGACGGCGCGAGCAGGUGCGAAAGCAGGUCAUAGUGAUCCGGUGGUUCUGAAUGGAAGGGCCAUCGCUCAACGGAUAAAAGGUACUCCGGGGAUAACAGGCUGAUACCGCCCAAGAGUUCAUAUCGACGGCGGUGUUUGGCACCUCGAUGUCGGCUCAUCACAUCCUGGGGCUGAAGUAGGUCCCAAGGGUAUGGCUGUUCGCCAUUUAAAGUGGUACGCGAGCUGGGUUUAGAACGUCGUGAGACAGUUCGGUCCCUAUCUGCCGUGGGCGCUGGAGAACUGAGGGGGGCUGCUCCUAGUACGAGAGGACCGGAGUGGACGCAUCACUGGUGUUCGGGUUGUCAUGCCAAUGGCACUGCCCGGUAGCUAAAUGCGGAAGAGAUAAGUGCUGAAAGCAUCUAAGCACGAAACUUGCCCCGAGAUGAGUUCUCCCUGAGACUUAGAGUCUCCUGAAGGAACGUUGAAGACGACGACGUUGAUAGGCCGGGUGUGUAAGCGCAGCGAUGCGUUGAGCUAACCGGUACUAAUGAACCGUGAGGCUUAACCUUACAACGCCGAAG
rnacentral:rRNA from 1 species